CGACCUGCACGAAUGGCGUAACGACUUCCCCACUGUCUCCAGGAUAUGCUCAGCGAAAUUGAAUUCUCCGUGAAGAUGCGGAGUACCCGCGGUUAGACGGAAAGACCCCGUGCACCUUUACUGCAGCUUCAGAGUGGCAUUAGGAAAGAAUUGUGUAGAAUAGGUGGGAGGCUUUGAAACUUGGGCGCCAGUCCGAGUGGAGCCAUAAUGUGAAAUACCACCCUAUUGUUUUCUGGUGUCUAACUUAGAUCCGUUAUCCGGAUCAGGGACCCUCUGUGGCGGGUAGUUUGACUGGGGCGGUCGCCUCCUAAAGAGUAACGGAGGCGCGCGAUGGUUGGCUCAGGACGGUUGGAAACCGUCUGUUAGAGUGCAAUGGCAUAAGCCAGCCUGACUGCGAGACUGACAAGUCGAGCAGAGACGAAAGUCGGUCAUAGUGAUCCGGUGGUCCCUCGUGGAAGGGCCAUCGCUCAACGGAUGAAAGGUACGCCGGGGAUAACA
rnacentral:rRNA from 17 species